AUGUCCUUCAAACUGUACGGUCAACAGUUUGGUGAGAUAUUAAAGUUAGUAUAAUUAAAAAAUAAAAUAAAUAUUGAAGAGAUUGGAAACUGAGCUCUGCAGAUUGAACACUGAUUAAAAACGCAAUACAAAAAUCAAAGAAGGUAUUAACCAUGCACCGUCUCAUCUACAGAGAGAGUUCGAACAGGAACAGGACGUCGAAUCUCCUUUGUGUUUAUUGACGGGCGUUUUUAACAAUGGAUAGAGAUCACAGUGUACUCGGAGCCGAUUUCUCUAUGGACAGCUUGAAUUAAGUGAUCUAUACUCAGCUUGGCUUUGCAAUUUCAUAACGAACAGACCCACCGCGGAACAACGUUUGAAGACCUCAUAAUUGUAUUACCAAAAUACUGGCUCGAUACGUUCGAUAAAGCUUACAUUUGGUUUAACUAACGCACUUGCAAUGAUGAGAACCCACAUUCUAGCUAUUGCUGAGAUGUCGUAACAUUCUCAAAAAGUCACUGUUUUGUGCGCUCUAUGGACCGAAUAGAACGGGAAUGAUAAGCAAAUUGCAGAGUGUGAUUUUUGUUCGUCGGACUUCAGCUUUCAAUUGCCUAUUCAGUCCAAAGUGGCACCUGUUGGCCUGAGUUGGAUUUCCAGGCUGGCACUCUCGUUGGUGUUAAUACUGGUUCUAAGAUAGACGAAGUUAUCACGGCUUCAAGUUAUGACUCUCAACAGUGAGAUGAGAGGCGGGCGCGAAUGCAAUGAUGGUUUGCUUGAUGGCAGGAGAUAUUUCGUUGUAGGUAAAGUUUGCUUUUCAAAGUGUUUUUUGAGCCGAAAAUGUAAAAAAGAAUUAUUAGCCUGUUUAAU